rnacentral:rRNA from 1 species
AAUAUUGGACAAUGGGCGAAAGCCUGAUCCAGCCAUGCCGCGUGUGUGAAGAAAGUUUUCGGAUCGUAAAACUCUGUUGUAAGGGAAGAACAAGUACAGUAGUAACUGGCUGUACCUUGACGGUACCUUAUUAGAAAGCAACGGCUAACUACGUUCCAGCAGCCGCGGUAAUACGUAGGUGGCAAGCGUUGUCCGGAAUUAUUGGGCGUAAAGCGCGCGCAGGCGGUCCUUUAAGUCUGAUGUGAAAGCCCACGGCUCAACCGUGGAGGGUCAUUGGAAACUGGGGGACUUGAGUGCAGAAGAGGAAAGUGGAAUUCCAAGUGUAGCGGUGAAAUGCGUAGAGAUUUGGAGGAACACCAGUGGCGAAGGCGACUUUCUGGUCUGUAACUGACGCUGAGGCGCGAAAGCGUGGGUAGCAAACAGG